CUGCCCUGCUGGCUCUGGGUUCCAGGGAGAUUCUGGAUCCCCAGUGAGCCUUAAUUUCCCGCACUAUGAAAGCAACACCUUGAGCAGUACCCCGACACCUGGGGAGCUGUAGACUCAUGGGACAGAAAACUGAGCAGUGAACAGGGUUCCUAGUGGGAAGCCAGAACUCAGGUUCCCACUGCUGAAGUCUCAGUGUAGACCAGUCUGGGGAAGAAAAGUCCUAGGGGAACCCUUAGAGGAUCCCCCCCUCUUCUGACCUUCAGAGUUCAACUAGAUUUGCUUGGAGAGUCAUAAAGAAAAUCUCUUAUUCUCGUGUCCCCACCAGGAAGGAAGGAACUACUCACAAGUACUGUGAGCCUUCUCAACAAGGUCUGCUCUCCCUGAGCUCACCUACAGGUCUUUAGAGCCUCCCUGGCCCAGGGGAAGGGAACGCUCUGUCCAGGCACCUGAGCCAGCCCAUCCCACCACAUGAGGAACACUACUGAUGUCCACAUCCCCUACAAGAACCCCACCUUUUACCAUCAUGUGGCCACAGUCUUGCUUAUCCAGAGCUCUGCAUUUUACCCAGAACAUUAUGUCUGGUGGUUAAGAAAACAAUGUAAGAAAAUUAUAAUACAUCUACAAGGAAAACAACACCCACACAUGAGCACAGUUUUUGUUUUGUUUUUAAAGCACUCAGAUACUGCAUGAAUGGUGGGAUUAUUGGACAUGGAAUGGGAAAAUAACUGUGAUUGUGAUGUGAAGUGCUCUAAUGGACAGAGUGGACAGCACACAAGCACCCAAGGGCCAUGUGAGCAGAGAGAGGAAAGUCUAUGAGAACCAUCUGGAAAGGACACUGUGAAACUAACCUUCAAAACCGAAGAGAAGCACAUUAUCAGACGAACAAAGGUGGAGAGGACUUUGUUGAUAGGCCCUUGCAAGAAACUCCAAAAGAAGAAGCCGUUUGGAGAAAAGAAAGUCUUUAUCUAUGCCGUAAAGUAAGCUCUCCAUGGAGGGGGGAAACACAGCAGAGAAAAGACAUUCGGAAGAGAGCAGCUGGUGAAACAUGCAGUGCGCAGCAGUCUCCUCCAAGGUGGUAGGCCAAGGUCAGACCGCAGGGCUGCUCAGCUGGGAUGUUAAUGAUGUCAUUUGUAGAAGCCAUUUGGUUUACAUAUGACAGCCACCGAAAAACUCCUGUGUACUCCAAAGAUGACAUCAUAAACAAGGCUCAAUCGCGAGGAUUUUAGAUGGAGAGACGAUUCUCAAAAACAUAUUGUAUGGAGCUGUGGCAGCUAUUUUGGAAACACAAGAUAAAGAAAGCCUUGGAAAGCCUUAGUCUACUUGGAUGCUAAGCAAAUACCGCAGACUGAUGGAUUCUUAAGGAAAUUGCCAACAAAAGCAAAUAUUCAACUUAUGUUCACUGAAGUACGGAGGAUGGAUCACAGGACACCCAAGCUCAUCAUGUAUGGAUCCUUCAUAUUUUAACUGAAAUACAGUCACAUUGGUC